AUCCGCCCGCCUCGGCCUCCGAAAGUGCUGGGAUUACAGGGUGUGAGCCACCUCGCCUGGCUUUCUAAACAUUUAUUUACCCACCCCUUGAAGGAGACAACCCCAGCCCUUUGGGCUACAACAGCUUCUCAGCUUCAAAUCCUCAAGAAUCCACAACUUUCUUAUGUGAAUUAAUGACCUGGUAUAAGCCUCAGUGGACCCUGAAAUCAAGAACUGGGGACACAGGGCUUCAUGAUUCCAGGGAGCAUCAAGGCAAGGGACGCAGGGAGAAGGAGCAGCCAGCCCCCACCGCAAGACUGGCCACAUCUGUCACGUCUGGAGAAGUCUGCCCAGAGUGGUUCCCCUGGACUAAGGGCAGGCAGCUUGGGAAAGAGGGAGCUCUUUCUCCUUGCCCCACCCAUCAGGAUGCCUAAAAUGGGAGGCUGAGAGGGGCCUGCCCCGAGGACUGAGCUGCCAGGCUUUCUGCUUCCAAGUUCUUCCCGGCUCCCCAUCUCCUCCUGCUUCGGGGAAGUGCACCUCCACCCCCUCCCCGCUGGCUUUCUAGCUUCUUGAAUAAAUAAUUCAGGUUUUGAAAUCUU